rnacentral:rRNA from 1 species
UAUUCCCGUACUUGGUGUUACUGCGAAGGGGGGACGGAGAAGGCUAUGUUGGCCGGGCGACGGUUGUCCCGGUUUAAGCGUGUAGGCUGGUUUUCCAGGCAAAUCCGGAAAAUCAAGGCUGAGGCGUGAUGACGAGGCACUACGGUGCUGAAGCAACAAAUGCCCUGCUUCCAGGAAAAGCCUCUAAGCAUCAGGUAACAUCAAAUCGUACCCCAAACCGACACAGGUGGUCAGGUAGAGAAUAC